CCUACGGGUGGCAGCAGUGAGGAAUAUUGGUCAAUGGACGAGAGUCUGAACCAGCCAAGUAGCGUGAAGGAUGACUGCCCUAUGGGUUGUAAACUUCUUUUAUAUGGGAAUAAAAUGUUCCACGUGUGGGAUUUUGUAUGUACCAUAUGAAUAAGGAUCGGCUAACUCCGUGCCAGCAGCCGCGGUAAUACGGAGGAUCCGAGAGUUAUCCGGAUUUAUUGGGUUUAAAGGGAGCGUAGGUGGAUUGUUAAGUCAGUUGUGAAAGUUUGCGGCUCAACCGUAAAAUUGCAGUUGAAACUGGCAGUCUUGAGUACAGUAGAGGUGGGCGGAAUUCGUGGUGUAGCGGUGAAAUGCUUAGAUAUCACGAAGAACUCCGAUUGCGAAGGCAGUUCACUGGACUGCAACUGACACUGAGGCUCGAAAGUGUGGGUAUCAAACAGGAUUAGAUACCCUAGUAGUC
rnacentral:rRNA from 1 species